CCACUCUCUCAAUUUCCUCAUUCAUUAUCCCUUCUCCUCAUACAUCCAUUUCCAUUCAUAUCGCUCUCUCUCUCUCUGCUUUCACUUCUCUCUCUAAAUUUCUCCUCUUUUUUCUUUUUUUAUUUUUAUUUUUAUGGGGGUGAGAGAAAAUAUUGCAGAUCAAAAAGCAAGACUGAAAUCUCCACAGCAAGGCAGUCUUAAAAAUGAGUUCAAGACUUGUCAUCCGCCCGCAAAACUGGAAAGCUGAUGGAAUCUGGGGCGUUGAAAGUUUGGGCCGCCAGAGAUUUGAAUUGGGUCCCGGCGCCGGCGCCGGGAGCUCCACCUUGACGGCGGCUCAUUUGUAUUAAUUGGGUGCUAUCCUACCUGAGCUUUUUCCCCAUCACCUUUUCUUAUUCGUUUUUUUUUUUUUUUUGACUUGUUGCCUUUUAUUUUUUAUUCUCACCCAAUUUUCUUGACCUUGUAAGACCUUUUCUUGACCUUGUAAGACCCAUUGUUGUGUGUUUUCUUCUUGUAUUUUGUGGUCUGAAUAACGUUGUGUCGAAAAUUUUCUGGCACAAGGUUUUCUCAGCAUCUUCGUCCUCCCUCCCCAACUCGUCUUCUCCUUCCUUGUCUAUCCCUCCUGAGCUAUUAAACUAAUUAGAUUUGCACAUUUCAGCGCCCUCCUCAAAAACAUAUAUCAUUAUAUUAUAUUGUGUUUCAAAUCCAUGCAUAAACACCCUCUCAUCACCGCUGAAUUGAAGAUCAGAUCAAUCUGGAGUAACUUCAAGAUUAUUUGUAAUUCAUUAUAUAUAUAUAAUUUAGUAGAAGCUAAUUAAGCUAGAGUAGAUACAUGUAUACAUACACGUACACACUUUAUAAUGAUAUUUAUUGUGUAUGUUUAUGGAUGGAUGAUGGAUCGGAGUUGAAUUGAAGUUAGUUAUAUAUGGAUCACUGGAUGCAAUGCAAUUAUUUAGAAA